GAUGUACUCCCUUCGUCUGAAAAUACUUGUCCUACACAUGAAUAAAAUGGAUGUAUCUAUAACUAAAAUAAGUCUAGAUAUAACCAUUUUGUGGACAAGUAUUUCCGGACGGAGGGAGUACAAU
rfam:Triticum aestivum genome assembly, contig: Triticum_aestivum_CS42_TGACv1_scaffold_252596_3DL